rnacentral:rRNA from 1 species
CCAAUAGCGUAUAUUAAAGUUGUUGCAGUUAAAAAGCUCGUAGUUGAAUUUCGGGGUUCAUACGUUGGUCGGGCUUUUUUGGUCUGUACUUAUGUAAUGGAUUCCUACCUUCUGAAUAACCGGCAUGCCAUUAAUUUGGUGCGCCGGGGAAGCAGGACUGUUACCUUGAAAAAAUUAGAGUGCUUAAAGCAGGCUAUCGCCUGAAUACAUUAGCAUGGAAUAAUGAAAUAGGACGGCAUGGUUCUAUUUUGUUGGUUUCUAGGAUCACCGUAAUGAUUAAUAGGGAUAGUUGGGGGCAUUAGUAUUCAAUUGUCAGAGGUGAAAUUCUUGGAUUUAUUGAAGACUAACUUCUGCGAAAGCAUUUGCCAAGGAUGUUUUCAUUAAUCAAGAACGAAAGUUAGGGGAUCGAAGACGAUCAGAUACCGUCGUAGUCUUAACCAUAAACUAUGCCGACUAGGGAUCGGACGAUGUUAAUUUUUUAAUGACUCGUUCGGCGCCUUACG